rnacentral:lncRNA from 1 species
CAACGUUGCAACAAUGAGGUUAUCAUGGCUGAACAACGUUGUUCAAGCGACAAUCGUUAACAACAUUGUUCCAACAACUUGUUCACGCUUGAUGAACGAACAAUGGUUGUUGCAACAUGAUGGAACAAGCGUCAACAAGGUUGAUGAAACAUGUUUGACAAAUGUUGUCAGAACAAUGUUGUUCAGCGUUGUUUAUUCAUCAGGCGUCAACAAUAUUGUUCGAACAGGCGUGAACAACAUUGAUAAAAGAACAAGUUGUUUUUAGUUGUUCGAACAACCGUGAACAGCAUUGUUAUAAAUAGACGGUAAAAUAAUGAUUUGAACAACACGAAAACUUGUUUUUAUAUAAUUAUUGGUUGUUGCGAAAGCGCUGGAUGCAAAACGGACGAAUGGGACGAAUAUCACGAGAGCAAGAAAUCAAACGGGCUUUUACAGCGAAAUAAAUGUCGUUUAAACUUUGUGGUUUUUUCUGAAGAUUGAGGGAAAAAUACUGAAGAAAAUAACUUGGUAAGUGUCUUGUUUUGAGGUAAGGUUAGUUGUAAAAGCUUAAAACAACCCGACCAUUUGAUUUUAGUCAUUUUCAUAGUGCACGACGAAGAAAUGCACAUGCACAAACUUUAUAGUACUUUUAUAUAGGCAUUGCAUUUUGAUAUUUUUCUCUAUAUUUUCAGUAUAUAUGAAACAAGAAACCACGGUCAUACUGUAAUAAAAGCCGUCAAUAUAAACAAAACAUUUAAUUCUCAAAAUAUUGUUUAAAUUUUUCCAAUUACACUCUAAAUUUCUGUCAGAGUCUUUUUAACUUUGAAAUUUGAUAUGUCAAAAACGCUAUCAUAUCAUCACUGCUAUAUAUAUAAACAAUUCCUAUUGUGUUUUAACAAGGUCAACCAAAUACUUGAUCAGUUUACACACCAAGAAUGAUGUAUUUACUGCAUAUAAUAUGUGAUGGAUAGAUUAUAGGUAUAUAUAGGUAGGCAAGAGUGCAUACAGUUAAAUAAUUAGCUAUUUCUCAUAUUUCCUUUUAUUUCCUGGUUAAGCAGGUGACUAUAAUUGUCAUGGAAGGUAUAUGAAGGAGGUAGCUAUGAUUUUAUCACAUGGCUAUGGGGGAUAAUUAUGACCAUUAUUAUGCUCACAUGUAAUUAUUGUCUCAUUUUUAUCCUUUUUGUAGUGUAAACUUAAGUAUAAAAAUAAAGAUCUAUGAACAUGUCAGACAAAUUAUAUACAAUGGGUGAUAACUUGGUAAGUAAUUUUUAUAUCUUUGUUGUGGUCUGUGUAGAUGGAGGCUAUUUUGGCAAUAGCCAUGCACUUAGACAUAGCAUGACCAGUCCAUAUGUGGACUGCCUAUAUGUCUAUUAAACAUGAUUGAAUACCCAAAUUAGAUUCAAGAUUAUGAUAUGUCCCAGGCAUGGAUCCAAAAAUGACCAUGUACUGAAGUUAUAUGGCAUGAGCCAUGUAAAAUAUGGUGGGAAACAUACAAUUGGGGCUGCAUCCCACCAUAAUGCACUAGUCAAUUGAAACCCCGACCCCCGGGAUAGGGAGGGGAAAUUAACAUUUUGACAAUGUUAAAUUUUGGACAUUUAAAUUCCUAGCUGCUACCGGGAGAAUAUUGACUGUUAAAAUUACUGUCCCUAUGGCCCCAACACUUUGCAAAUUUUCAUGACUUGGGAAAUUUUCAUGACUUGGGAAUUAAUUGUCCUGGCUAAUAAAUUGAUUUGUUAUUUAUUACCCUGUACCCUGGGGGAAAUCUGCAUUAAGACUGUGUUAAUCCACGGCCAUUUCCCCGUUAAUUCCCCGCCCUGUCCCUGGGGUUGGGGGUUUCAAUUGACUAGUGCAUGCAUAAACAUUGCAAAGGUCCAUUUUGUAAAUUAAUGGCACUAUGUAUUUAAUCUUAAUUUAUAGGGCCUGUGAGUUCAUAUCUGGAAUAAAAUAGUGGCAAAUCUACAGAAAUAUCACUGCUAAGGAGUGUCAAACAAAUUCAGGAGGACUGAAUUAACUGGAUGUUCUCAGGAUGAAAAAGAAAUUGUAGUUGACUUUAAUUGAAUAAUCAUUAAUAUCAUUAAUGUAAGGUUAAAAAUAUUGAACAUUCAAAAGGAUGCAGACAGAAAAUUGCAAGUAAGGCCUGAAUUUCAGGUUAAGUGAUCCAGGAAUGGGGUUGGCCCUCUGCAGGCUAAAUCAAUUGAGGGAGAUCCCUUUAUUUCAAGUUAAAUGAUUAUUUGAAUAAGAUGCCAUUCAGGCAAUAAGGGCCUGGUUAGGUCCAUAUUUUAAUUCAAAUUAUUAAGUACUCGAUUUAUCCAUCAACAAAACCCAACAUUAAAAUUUCCAUCGAGUGAGAUGCAACAAAACCAUCUAUAGUUUAUUAAUUAUAUUAACCUAAUCCAUCACUGGCAAUGAGCCUACUUUAGUAUUUUAG